UCAGACUGUCUACUGACAGAGUCUUCAGUUAGACAGAAGUAUAUGCACCAUGCAAUCCAGAUGUGUUAAGAGCUAAUGGAAACAGGAAAAUGCCCAUAAGCAGUCAGCAGGUAGUUCACCAUCAGAUCUAACCACCCCAUCAAGAUUGAUCCCCAGCUCACCUGUUGCCAUUAACUGGCUGCCUACUUGGACACAAAUUGAUCCCAAAGAAAAGCACGUGAGAAGAGGAAACUUAGCAGCAAAGAAAACAUGAAGGGUCACCCUGUGGGGGUCAUUCUUCCCUUUCACAUUCAGAAGGUGCUUCUGGUGGAUUUGCCUAGACCUCCGCUGGUGCCUGCGUGAGGUGUGGCUCUGUAUAACCAAUCAGAACAUCGCAGGUUUUGUCUCCACAGUGAUUGGUUCAGGAAAGGUCAUGGGAUCCAAUCAGAGCUAAUAAGAGGCAUAGGAAAUUUCUCAGGUGUUGCUUUUAGGAGCCAUAGUAUGGCUUCCUUUCCAUUGUAAGGGCAGAUUCUAGAGUUACGUGGGCCUCCACAUAGAAAAUGAGAAUGUAGCUGGCUUGGUAACAUGGAGGAUGACUUGUUUGGGGUCUUCAUCCAUCCUUGUGGAGUGAGUUCUAGUUCAGGACUUCUUGAUUUUAUGAGCCAGUCAAUUCCAUUUGCGUUGAAACCAAUUUAGGUCAGAUUUUGUAUUAAUUUUACUGGGAAUACUCUUAGAUGAUACAUAUAGAAUGUACCAAACCUAAGCACUGGAGGAAUAAGGUAGAACACUGAAGUGAAGACUAGGUCAACUUAUAUAUGGCAUUUGAGAGUCUGUAGAAGUCUGUUCAAGAGAAUGAUUGCUUUGAUGUAUUUGGGAAUGAAGCUGGCCAUAAAUGAAGGCAAAAUUCCCUCCCUAGGUAUUUUUUUUUUCUCUGUCACUUCCCUGUGCAAAUAUAUUUAUCUAUUAAUAGCUAGCUCCUUGGUCCAGCCUUGCCCCAGUUUCUGUGAUAAAUCAAGUUUCUGUGUGUAGAAAGUAACCAUGUUGUCACUUUUAAAUAUCACAACUGGAGGGAACC